UACGUAGGUGGCGAGCGUUGUCCGGAAUUACUGGGUGUAAAGCGCGUGUAGGCGGGAGGCCAAGUCUGUGGUGAAAUCGCUCGGCUUAACUGGGCGGGGUCCAUGGAAACUGGUCACCUGGAGGUCGGUAGAGGCAAGUGGAAUUCCCGGUGUAGUGGUGAAAUGCGUAGAGAUCGGGAGGAACACCGGUGGCGAAGGCGGGUCUCUGGGCCAUAACUGACGCUGAGGAGCGAAAGCGUGGGGAGCGAACGGG
rnacentral:rRNA from 1 species